GGGGAUAUAGCUCAGCUGUUAGGGUGUCUGCCUCGUAUGUACAAGGCCCUGGGUUUAAUCCCCAGCACUACCC
rnacentral:tRNA from 1 species